rnacentral:pre_miRNA from 1 species
UCUUUGGUGAUUUUAGCUGUAUGCUGAUACGUUUCUGAUUGCAUAUAGCUUUAUCACCAAAAACC